UUUGUCUCUCCUGGUGUGGUGUCUGGAGGAGUAGGGGUUUGUCUCUCCUGGUGUGGUGUCUGGAGGAGUAGGGGGUUUGUCUCUCCUGGUGUGGUGUCUGAAGGAGUAGGGGUUUUGUCUUUCCUGAUGUGGUGUCUGGAGGAGUAGGGGGAUUGUCUCUCCUGGUGUAGAGAUGUAGAGCUUUCUCUCUCCUGGUGUGGUGUCUAGAGGAGUAGGGGGUUGUCUCUCCUGGUCUGGUGUCUGGAGGAGUAGGUGGUUUGUCUCUCCUGGUGUGGUGUCUGGAGGAAUAAGGGUUUGUCUCUCCUGGUGUGGUGUCUAGAGGAGUUGGGGUUUUGUCUCUCCUGGUGUGGUGUCUGGAGGAGUAGGUGGUUUGUCUCUUAUGGUGUGGUGUCUGGAGGAAUAAGGGUUUGUCUCUCCUGGUGUGGUGUCUGGAGGAGUUGGGGUUUUGUCUCUCCUGGUGUGGUGUCUGGAGGUGUAGGGUUUUGUCUCUCCCGGUGUGGUGUCUGGAGGAGUAGGUGGUUUGUCUCUCAUUGUUACGUUCCCCAGAUUAUGUGUUGUAGAUUGUGUAUUUGCAUGUGUUUAUUUCAGGAAAUGGCUUCCUGAAAUUCCUCAAGCAGCUGAUUGGUCGACUCCAGGGCUAAUUGGAGAGCUGACCCCGCCCCCUCGUCAAGACACAGCUGUCUCCAAUUACCCAUUCCUUCAGAAGCUAUAUAAAAGCCAGUGUUCUGUUCAGGAGUUUUUCUUUUUGCUAGAGAGAUUUGCUGGGAGGUCAUUGUAGAGAUUGUGAUAGAGGUUGAUUUUGCUGGGAGUACAUUGCUGAGUUUGUUGCUCAGAAAGAGCUUAUUUGACAUCCUUUUGUUUCUUAGUUUGUUUAAAAUUGUUUAAUAUUCUGUUUCAUUUGUUCCCAGGGGGAAAGGGAAGGCACCUAGGGAGUGCUUAGGCAAGAGGCCCGCGGGCAUACAUAUACCCGUAGCAUAUUCGCUGUCUAGACACACUAGGUAAGACCUGGGCGGACCACCCCUUGUAUUUUGGUUAGGGCACCAGGUGGUGCUAAAUUAGGUAAGUAGUGGGUAGGCAGGUAAGAUAGGAGAGGGGGGCUUUGAGAUUUACUUUCUUUGCUUUGGUUCCGUCCAGCCCCUUUUCCCCAUAUUACCGUGUAAAGGAAUAAAGUCCUUGUAAACGGUACCACAUUCUGCCUGUUGUCAUCCUUACUCGCACCUACAGUCCAUACCUUUUUUUUCGCUUCACGGAGUGUUUAGUUGUAGCAGGGUGUUGCGUUCCCUCUUCAUAGAGGCGUGCGUAACAUAAUGGGGGCUCGUCCGGGAUUUGAACACGGGACCUCUCGCCCCUCUCUGGAGGAAUCAGGGUUUGUCUCUCCUGGUGUAGGGUCUGGAGGAAUUGGGGUUUUGUCUCUCCUGGUG
ensembl:lncRNA